GCUCAGGUAUAAACAAAGACCAACAUCCGCCAGAAAAUUACGGGCGAAAGCCUAAAACUCAAAAGACUUGACGGUGUCUCAACCUACCUAGAGGAGCCUGUUCCAUAAUCGACAACCCCCGAUAAACCCAACCACCCUUAGAUUAUUCAGCCUAUAUACCGCCGUCGUCAGCUUACCUUUCUAAAGCCAUAAAGUAAGCUAAAUAGUUAUAACACUAACAAGUCAGGUCAAGGUGUAGCUUAUAGUGUGGAGGAAAUGGGCUACAUUUUUUAACUUAAACUAAACGAAUUUUACCCUGAAUUUUAAAGGAAAUAAAGGCGGAUUUAGCAGUAAUCUAAACAAGAACAUUUAAAUUAACACCAGCCCUGAGACAUGUACACA
rnacentral:rRNA from 1 species